rnacentral:rRNA from 1 species
CAGAGGGAGCAAGCGUUGUUCGGAAUUACUGGGCGUAAAGGGCGCGUAGGCGGUCUGGCAAGUCCUGUGUGAAAUCCCUCGGCUCAACUGAGGAACUGCACAGGAAACUGCUUGGCUUGAGUUCGGGAGAGGGAAGCGGAAUUCCGGGUGUAGCGGUGAAAUGCGUAGAUAUCCGGAGGAACACCGGUGGCGAAGGCGCCUUCCUGGACCGACACUGACGCUGAGGCGCGAAAGCUAGGGGAGCAAACGGGAUUAGAUACCCCGGUAGUCCUAGCUGUAAACGAUGAGUGCUGGGUGUAGGGGGUAUCAACCCCUCCUGUGCCGAAGCUAACGCAUUAAGCACUCCGCCUGGGGAGUACGGUCGCAAGGCUG